rnacentral:rRNA from 1 species
GAAAAGCAGGGGAUCGCAAGACCUUGCGCUUUUGGAGCGGCCGAUGCCUGAUUAGCUUGUUGGUAAGGUAAAAGCUUACCAAGGCUUCGAUCAGUAGCUGGUCUGAGAGGACGACCAGCCACACUGGGACUGAGACACGGCCCAGACUCCUACGGGAGGCAGCAGUGGGGAAUUUUGGACAAUGGGGGCAACCCUGAUCCAGCCAUGCCGCGUGAGUGAAGAAGGCCUUCGGGUUGUAAAGCUCUUUCAGCCGGAACGAAACGGUUACGGUUAAUACCCGUAACUAAUGACGGUACCGGAAGAAGAAGCACCGGCUAACUACGUGCCAGCAGCCGCGGUAAUACGUAGGGUGCGAGCGUUAAUCGGAAUUACUGGGCGUAAAGCGUGCGCAGGUGGUUUGUAAGUCAGAUGAAAGC